rnacentral:rRNA from 1 species
UACAGAGGGGGCAAGCGUUGUUCGGAAUUACUGGGCGUAAAGGGCGCGUAGGCGGCCUUCUAAGUCGAACGUGAAAUCCCCGGGCUCAACCCGGGAACUGCGUCCGAUACUGGAAGGCUUGAAUCCGGGAGAGGGAUGUGGAAUUCCCGGUGUAGCGGUGAAAUGCGCAGAUAUCGGGAAGAACACCCGUGGCGAAGGCGGUUCUCUGGGACGGUACUGACGCUGAGACGCGAAAGCGUGGGGAGCGAACAGG